UUUACAAUGGAGAGUUUGAUCCUGGCUCAGGAUGAACGCUAGCGGCAGGCCUAAUACAUGCAAGUCGAACGGUGGCAGCAAUGCCAUAGUGGCGCACGGGUGCGUAACGCGUAGCCAACCUACCCAAAUCUGGGGGAUAGCCCGCCGAAAGGCGGAUUAAUACCGCAUAAGACAACGGAACGGCAUCGUUCAGUUGUUAAAGAUUUAUUGGAUUUGGAUGGGGCUGCGUGCCAUUAGCUAGUUGGUGGGGUAACGGCUCACCAAGGCGACGAUGACUAGGGGAGCUGAGAGGCUGGUCCCCCACACGGGCACUGAGAUACGGGCCCGACUCCUACGGGAGGCAGCAGUAGGGAAUAUUGGGCAAUGGGCGAGAGCCU
rnacentral:rRNA from 1 species